rnacentral:rRNA from 1 species
GAUGAACGCUGGCGGCGUGCCUAAUACAUGCAAGUCGAGCGAACAGACGAGGAGCUUGCUCCUCUGACGUUAGCGGCGGACGGGUGAGUAACACGUGGAUAACCUACCUAUAAGACUGGGAUAACUUCGGGAAACCGGAGCUAAUACCGGAUAAAUAUAUUGAACCGCAUGGUUCAAUAGUGAAAGACGGUUUUGCUGUCACUUAUAGAUGGAUCCGCGCCGCAUUAGCUAGUUGGUAAGGUAACGGCUUACCAAGGCAACGAUGCGUAGCCGACCUGAGAGGGUGAUCGGCCACACUGGAACUGAGACACGGUCCAGACUCCUACGGGAGGCAGCAGUAGGGAAUCUUCCGCAAUGGGCGAAAGCCUGACGGAGCAACGCCGCGUGAGUGAUGAAGGUCUUCGGAUCGUAAAACUCUGUUAUUAGGGAAGAACAAAUGUGUAAGUAACUAUGCACGUCUUGACGGUACCUAAUCAGAAAGCCACGGCUAACUACGUG